UACGUAGGGGGGCAAGCGUUGUCCGGAAUCAUUGGGCGUAAAGCGCGUGUAGGCGGCUUGGUAAGUCUGCUCUGAAAGCCCGGGGCUCAACCCCGGGAGGCGGGUGGAUACUGUCAAGCUCGAGUCCGGAAGAGGAGUGUGGAAUUCCUGGUGUAGCGGUGAAAUGCGCAGAUAUCAGGAGGAACACCAAUGGCGAAGGCAGCACUCUGGGACGUGACUG
rnacentral:rRNA from 1 species